GAUGAACGCUGGCGGCGUGCCUAAUACAUGCAAGUCGAGCGAACGGACGAGAAGCUUGCUUCUCUGAUGUUAGCGGCGGACGGGUGAGUAACACGUGGAUAACCUACCUAUAAGACUGGGAUAACUUCGGGAAACCGUAGCUAAUACCGGAUAAUAUUUUGAACCGCAUGGUUCAAAAGUUAAAGACGGUCUUGCUGUCACUUAUAGAUGGAUCCGCGCUGCAUUAGCUAGUUGGUAAGGUAACGGCUUACCAAGGCAACGAUGCAUAGCCGACCUGAGAGGGUGAUCGGCCACACUGGAACUGAGACACGGUCCAGACUCCUACGGGAGGCAGCAGUAGGGAAUCUUCCGCAAUGGGCGAAGGCCUGACGGAGCAACGCCGCGUGAGUGAUGAAGGUCUUCGGAUCGUAAAACUCUGUUAUUAGGGAAGAACAUAUGUGUAAGUAACUGUGCACAUCUUGACGGUACCUAAUCAGAAAGCCACGGCUAACUACGUG
rnacentral:rRNA from 1 species